rnacentral:rRNA from 1 species
GGGGGGGGGGGGGGGGGGGGGGAGGGGAGGGGGGGGGGGGGGGUGGGGGGGGCGUGCUCCUGGAUCCAGCGGCGGACGGGUGAGUAAUGCGUAGGAAUCUGCCUGGUAGUGGGGGAGAACGUCCGGAACCGGGCGCUAAUACCGCAUCCGUCCUGAGGGAGAAAGUGGGGGAUCUUCGGACCUCACGCUAUCAGAUGAGCCUAGGUCGGAUUAGCUAGUUGGUGGGGUAAAGGCCUACCAAGGCGACGAUCCGUAACUGGUCUGAGAGGAUGAUCAGUCACACUGGAACUGAGACACGGUCCAGACUCCUACGGGAGGCAGCAGUGGGGAAUAUUGGACAAUGGGCGAAAGCCUGAUCCAGCCAUGCCGCGUGUGUGAAGAAGGUCUUCGGAUUGUAAAGCACUUUAAGUUGGGAGGAAGGGCAGUAAGUUAAUACCUUGCUGUUUUGACGUUACCAACAGAAUAAGCACCGGCUAACUUCGUG